rnacentral:rRNA from 1 species
GAUCCUGCCGGACCUGACUGCUAUCGGAUUGAUACUAAGCCAUGCGAGUCAUUGUAGUAAUACAAGGCAGACGGCUCAGUAACGCGUAGUCAACCUAACCUAUGGACGGGAAUAACCUCGGGAAACUGAGUAUAAUGCCCGAUAGAACAUUAUGCCUGGAAUGGUUUAUGUUCCAAAUGAUUUAUCGCCGUAGGAUGGGACUGCGGCCUAUCAGUUUGUUGGUGAGGUAAUGGCCCACCAAGACUAUUACAGGUACGGGCUCUGAGAGGAGUAGCCCGGAGAUGGGUACUGAGACACGGACCCAGGCCCUAUGGGGCGCAGCAGGCGAGAAAACUUUGCAAUGUGCGAAAGCACGACAAGGUUAAUCCGAGUGGUUUCUGCUAAAGGAACCUUUUGUUAGUCCUAGAAACACUAACGAAUAAGGGGUGGGCAAGUUCUGGUGUCAGUCGCCGCGGUAAAACCAGCACCUCAAGUGGUCAGGAUGAUUAUUGGGCCUAAAGCAUCCGUAGCCGGCUCUGUAAGUUUUCGGUUAAGUCUGUACGCUCAACGUACAGGCUGCCGGGAAUACUGCAGAGCUAGGGAGUGGGAGAGGUAGACGGUACUCG